rnacentral:tRNA from 13 species
GAGCCAUUAGCUCAGUCGGUAGAGCACAUGACUUUUAAUCAUGGUGUCACUGGUUCGAUUCCAGUAUGGCUCACCA